UUGACAGCCCUAAAGACUGAAGACCUCUGUCAAUCCUGGAUCCUCUGUUUAUCGACAGAACAGGUAGAGAGAGCACAGGCAGCAGUGCAGGCUUUCCUUACAGCACCUCGCCAAUGGGCCUCAAGCUUGCCCCAGCAAGACCCACAGGAAGGGAGAAGAUAAUUCAGUCUCCAGGUGGGAUCCAACCCUUGGCCUCU
rnacentral:sRNA from 1 species